rnacentral:rRNA from 1 species
UACGGGGGGGGGCAAGCGUUGUUCGGAAUUACUGGGCGUAAAGGGCUCGUAGGCGGCCAACUAAGUCGGAUGUGAAAUCCCCCAGGCUCAACUUGGGAACUGCAUCCGAUACUGGAUGGCUUGAAUUCGGGAGAGGGAUGCAGAAUUCCAGGUGUAGCGGUGAAAAUGCGUAGAUAUCUGGAGGAACACCGGUGGCGAAGGCGGCAUCCUGGACCGACACUGACGCUGAGGCGCGAAAGCUAGGGGAGCAAACGGG